rfam:Maribacter sp. T28 contig10, whole genome shotgun sequence.
AAUAAAGAGGAGGGAUUUGACUGAUUGCAACCUCUGUUUUAGCCCAAGGGUAUAAAACGAAAAAAAUGCUAAAGCAGUUGAU